rnacentral:rRNA from 1 species
ACGGGAGGCAGCAGUGGGGAAUAUUGCACAAUGGGGGGAACCCUGAUGCAGCGACGCCGCGUGAGUGAAGAAGUAUUUCGGUAUGUAAAGCUCUUUAAGCAGGGAAGAAAAUGACGGUACCUGUAGAAUAAGCCCCGGCUAACUACGUGCCAGCAGCCGCGGUAAUACGUAGGGGGCAAGCGUUAUCCGGAUUUACUGGGUGUAAAGGGAGCGUAGACGGCAAUGCAAGUCUGAAGUGAAAUCCCGCGGCUCAACUGCGGGACUGCUUUGGAAACUGUAUAGCUAGAGUGUCGGAGAGGUGAGUGGAAUUCCCAGUGUAGCGGUGAAAUGCGUAGAUAUUGGGAAGAACACCGGUGGCGAAGGCGGCUCACUGGACGAUUACUGACGUUGAGGCUCGAAAGCGUGGGGAGCAAACAGGAUUAGAUACCCUGGUA